rnacentral:lncRNA from 1 species
CUUUGGAACAACUUUCCAAUACUGGCAGUUUGCCAUAGUGUUUUUUGUUUUCAAGACAGAAUAUACAGCCUAUUUGUUUGUUGCUACAGUCUGUAUAGGACUAUAAGCGUGACAAAAUCGUGGAACAGUUCCUUUUAUGAUGACUGAAUGGAUGGAUUUAAAAGUCAUGGCUGAACGACGACAAUAUCAACAUUCAGCUGGCUGGUUAUACGAUGUACCGGCAGGAUAGAACAGUGGCGUCUGACCUUUGGUAUGGAGUCAACAGGUGAGUACUCCUGUGUUUGGAGAACAAUGGAAGCAAACUUGGCAGAGAGAGGAGGAGGAGGAGGAAGAAGAAGAAGAAGAUCUGAUGAUCAACCGUGGUUUGACAUUGAGAGAG